rnacentral:rRNA from 1 species
UACGGAGGGUGCUAGCGUUGUUCGGAAUUACUGGGCGUAAAGGGCGCGUAGGCGGCAAUUCAAGUCAUCUGUGAAAUCUCCGGGCUUAACUCGGAAUGGUCAGGUGAUACUGCUUUGCUAGAGUGCAGAAGGGGCAAUCGGAAUUCUUGGUGUAGCGGUGAAAUGCGUAGAUAUCAAGAGGAACACCUGAGGUGAAGACGGGUUGCUGGGCUGACACUGACGCUGAGGCGCGAAAGCUAGGGGAGCAAACGGG